UACGUAGGGGGCAAGCGUUGUCCGGAUUUAUUGGGCGUAAAGAGCGUGUAGGCGGCCUGACAAGUCUGCUGUGAAAACUCGAGGCUCAACCUCGAGAUGUCGGCGGAAACUGUCUGGCUAGAGUCCGGAAGAGGAGAGUGGAAUUCCUGGUGUAGCGGUGAAAUGCGCAGAUAUCAGGAGGAACACCGGUGGCGAAGGCGGCUUUCUGGACAGUAACUGACGCUGAGGCGCGAAAGCUAGGGGAGCAAACAGG
rnacentral:rRNA from 1 species